rnacentral:rRNA from 1 species
UUGGGCAUAAAGGGCAUCUAGGCGGCCAGAUAAGUCUGGGGUGAAAACUUGCGGCUCAACCGCAAGCCUGCCCUGGAAACUAUGUGGCUAGAGUACUGGAGAGGUGGACGGAACUGCACGAGUAGAGGUGAAAUUCGUAGAUAUGUGCAGGAAUGCCGAUGAUGAAGAUAGUUCACUGGACGGUAACUGACGCUGAAGUGCGAAAGCUAGGGGAGCAAACAGGAUUAGAUACCCUGGUAGUCCUAGCUGUAAACGAUGAUUACUGGGUGUGGGCAUGAAGAGUGUCCGUGCCGAAGCUAAUGCGAUAAGUAAUCCGCCUGGGGAGUACGGCCGCAAGGCUGAAACUCAAAGGAAUUGACGGGGACCCGCACAAGCGGUGGAGCAUGUGGUUUAAUUCGACGCAACGCGAGGAACCUUACCAGAUCUUGACAUCCUGCGAAGGCCUGCGAGAGCAGGCUGUGCCUCCGGGAACGCAGAGACAGGUGGUGCAUGGCUGUCGUCAGCUCGUGUCGUGA